GAUGAAGAACGCAGUGAAAUGCGAUAAGUAGUGUGAAUUGCAGAAUUCAGUGAAUCAUCGAAUCUUUGAACGCACAUUGCGCCCCUUGGUAUUCCAUGGGGCAUGCCUGUUCGAGCGUCAUUUCAACCCUCAAGCCCCCGGGUUUGGUGUUGGGGAUCGGCUCUGCCCUUCUGGGCGGUGCCGCCCCCGAAAUACAUUGGCGGUCUCGCUGCAGCCUCCAUUGCGUAGUAGCUAACACCUCGCAACUGGAACGCGGCGCGGCCAUGCCGUAAAACCCCAACUUCUGAAUGUUGACCUCGGAUCAGGUAGGAAUACCCGCUGAACUUAAGCAUAUCAAUAAGCGGAGGA
rnacentral:misc_RNA from 1 species